rnacentral:rRNA from 1 species
ACGCUCGACACCUACGGGAGGCAGCAGUCGGGAAUAUUGCGCAACGGAGGAAACUCUGACGCAGUGACGCCGCGUAUAGGAAGAAGGUUUUCGGAUUGUAAACUAUUGUCGUUAGGGAAGAGAAAGGACAGUACCUAAGGAGGAAGCUCCGGCUAACUACGUGCCAGCAGCUGCGGUAAUCUGAGCGGGCUGGCAAGGC